rnacentral:rRNA from 1 species
AGUGAACGCUGGCGGUAGGCCUAACACAUGCAAGUCGAGCGGCAGCACAGUAAGAGCUUGCUCUUACGGGUGGCGAGUGGCGGACGGGUGAGGAAUACAUCGGAAUCUACUUUUUCGUGGGGGAUAACGUAGGGAAACUUACGCUAAUACCGCAUACGACCUACGGGUGAAAGCAGGGGAUCUUCGGACCUUGCGCGAUUGAAUGAGCCGAUGUCGGAUUAGCUAGUUGGCGGGGUAAAGGCCCACCAAGGCGACGAUCCGUAGCUGGUCUGAGAGGAUGACCGCCCACUCUGGAAGUAAAACACGUCCCAGCCCCCGAGGGAGGGACGCAGGGGGAAAGUUUGAACAAGGGGCGAAAGCCUAAUCCACCCAUCCCGGGUGGUGAAAGAUGGCCUUGGGUUGUAAAACCCUUUUUUUGGGAAAAAAAAAGAAGCAGUUAAACACCCCGUUGUCCGGCGGUCACCAAAAAAAUAGCCCCGGACAACCUUCGUC